ensembl:lncRNA
CAAGCACGGGGCUGGACGAAAAGCGUCUAUGGUAUGCUUGUUCUUCGUUUGCGCUGCCUUGUGUGCGGGCUCUGUGCAGACGAGUUGAAUCCUGUUUUAUAAGUGAAUGUGUGCUCAGGUGUCGCCACACAAUCAGGCGGUUAGUGCGUUGCAUCGUAUAUGUGCAUAAUUAGGCUUGUGUGUGAGCUCCGCGAGGUCACGUAUAGGGUAAAGGCUGAUGCGCUGACAGCUGUGCUCUGUUGUGGCAGGUGUGUCGGGGCUGUAUAUGCAUGAGAACAACACGCCCCUGCCUGCAGUAGGACAUGAGCCUGCAGUACGUGUGCUCAGUGUGCAGGAAACUGUGCAGCUGUUGUUUGUAUGCUUUUGCCAGUGACUAGAGAUAUUAGAGUCAAGAGACGUCAGCUUAAGGGAUGCCGAAGUGACCUCUGUGAUGACGAGUCAAAGAAAUCUACAACCUCCACAGUUUGUCUGGACCAGAGAGAGUCUUUGCUGAGCUUCACAGAUACUCCCACUGUAAUCCAGAAACACCAGUAUAACCGUCCCAGAAAAGGAAAUAACACAGCAGUUCAGUCAUCCCCAGAAUGGCUGACCUUCCUCCCCCUGGCUUAAGACUUCCUUGUAUUCCCAGCAUUUUAUUAUAUGUUUUGGGCUAUUCCUCAUCAUCGAUUGGUUGCAAUACAGAGAAAAGAUGGGGGGAUGGAUGACCUUUUGAACACUGGGUGACUGUUGUCAUGAAAGGCGACUCCCACUCUCCCAAAGUCGAUGCACUCUGGCGAUGGUAUCUUGCAAGACCUCCAUGCAUUUAGCCAGAAUCCUUUUCCUCAUCCUUCCUUUCAGGCUUUAUGACCACAGCUGCAAAGAAGACCAUCCAACAGCAGUGCCUGUGUCCCACAAACAUGAUUCGACAUAUUUGCUGAGUUUUUAUUUUCAGACAUCCUUCACAUGUGAUUUGACACAUGAAGCAGACUGUUAUGUGUCUUUUACUCAGAACUGCUCGCGUCUGGUGGCGGUCAAACUUCCUGCAGGUUCUCCGAUCUCUACAGAAAACAUCUGAAGUCUUCUUGCAAUAAGUGCUGAAUUCUUGGUCACAUACCAGACCAAUUAAAUAUUUACUCAGACAUCCUACUUAGUCUGGCUGACUCUAAGAAGAGCCCUGGUCGUCCCAUUACUUGGGUGUUUCUCCUAAUAACCUCUCAAACCUUUAUAAAUGGAUUUAGAACCAGCGCCUCAAUGCAGUUUCCAGUCAUAAUGGCUGCUAUUGUCUUGCUGUGCAGUGUGAAAUGUGGAAGGUUUAUAUACACAGGUGUGUGCCUUUCUAAGCUAUGGCUAAUCAGUUUGCCAGUUUGCCGCAGGUGGACUCCAGCAGAGCUCAAGGACAGAUAAAGUAAACAGGAUGCACCUGACCACAAUUUGGAUUCCCACACAAAGGGUGCAAUGACGUUCGUAAAGGAGAAAAUGUUCUAAAAUGAUUUUACUUUAUGUUCACAGUGAACACAAUGGAGUGUGCGACAGCUGAACAGAUCUAGUGAAAUUUUUCAGCUGGGUACGGUUUGACUUCCUCUGUUACUCAGACCUUUGAUUAGUAUUAUUGACAUAGUCAGAAAUGCAUUUGCACAGCUUCCAGCUUGUGUAACCGCCCUGCCUGUUCCAGUUCAGCGGUGGAUAUUAGAGGUGGCUGACAUGGAUGCAUUAUGUACUAACUUACAGUACGGCAGAAAUGCAUUUGUCACACAAAGCUUUAACAGUCCUUCCAUUAACACUGACAGGAAUAUGAAUAUGCCCAGUUUAAUGCACACAGAGCAGCAAUUCAUCAACCAAGCAGAAUUCUAACCUUCAUCUGAUAAGACCUUUGAAAUCUGUGCCAAAACUCUAAUCCAGGAUAGCAGUGCAUAGACACACACACACACACACACACACACAAGUGCACGAACAUCAAAGACAAAAAUCUGUAGCCAAUGUUUAUUGAUCUGCAGGUCUAUUUUUGCUCGGGGAAAUCAUUCUAACAUAAACCAGCCCUCUGUCAAAUUUGAGCUGAAGGGGAACAGGCAACAUUCAUACAAUGCAUGUUAGAGUGAAACAGGGAAAAUAUAGCAAAAAUAAGCAAAGGAGGAUGUAUAAAUGCAGGUAAGCAGAAUCAGUGGAUGUGCAUAUAUGUGUGUAUAUUUGUUUUUGGCUAUGUAUAUAUGAAGACGUGUUAGAUCAGUGCUUUUGAACAUGUCAGAGAUCUUUCACGGAGACAAGCUGGAUUAAUUAGAGACAGUACAAAGUGAUGUCAGUCGUUGCCAUAGGAACUUUGUGCUACACUGGUGACACACUCAAGUGUCAGAGGUGGAAACUAUUAAAGUUUCUUUACUCGUAUACUCUUGGAGUGAACCAUUGUGGGGGUUUUUAAAGGUUGGAUUGGAAAUGAUCAAAAUAAGUAGUGUACUGAAAUUUUACUGAUAGAAAACUUGAACAUCAUUGUUGCAAAUGGCGGCAUUAAAUGUGAGCUUUGUGGAUUUCACUUUCAAUUUGAGUUUCAGCCAAGUAUUUACCAAACAAGCAUCAGUUUCACUUUACCGUACAUGCUGGUUUCUCAGGAAGACAUGCAGUUACCUACUACUUCGUUAGCUACACCUCGCUAGUGACGUUUUGCUUCCCUUUUAAUAGACAACACAUACGAAAGGUGCUUAUAGGAUGGAGAUCUGGUUACAGUGGAGGCAAUUUUAGAACAGUGAACUCACUGUCAUGUUCAAGAAGCCACUUGAGAUGAUUUAAGCUGUGUGACAUGGUGUAUUACCUAACUGGAAGCAGCCAUCAAAAGAUCGAUACAGUGUGCUCAUAAAAGGGUGGAUGCACUGGCAGCAGUAACAGUCAGAUAGGCUGUGGUGUUUAAAUUAAGCUCAAAGAAAACAUCCAUCCCACCAUUACAACAUGAAUCUUAACCACUGAUAGGACACAGGAUGGAUCCGUGCUUUCAUGUUGUUUAUACCAGAUUCUGAACCUAUCGUGUGAAUAUUGCAGCUGAAAUCCUGACUAACAGAAGUAGCACCCGGUGUGGUCUUCUGCUGCUUUAGCCCAUUUGCUUCAAGACAUUGUGCGUUCACUAAUGCUCAUCUGCACAGCGUGAUUGUAACAAGUGGUUAUUUGAGUUACAGUUGCCUUCCUAUCAACUCGAACCAGUCUGGCCAUUCUCCUCUGACCUCUGACAUCAACAAGAUAUUUUCGCCCAGAGAACAGCCGCUCACUGGAUGUUUUCUCAUUUUCAGGCCAUUCUCUGUAAACUCUGGAGAUGGUUGUGUGGGAAAAUCCCAGUAGAUAAGACCAGAAAUACUUAGAACAGCCUGAGUAUAGGUAUAGGCAUUUGUGUUAAUACCUGUGAGCAGGUAUUCCUAAUUUUAGCUUUGGAAAACGAUAACUUACUUCUGGUCAAUGUGAUGUUUUUUCCUUCCAUUUCACCAGCACAUUCAAAAUGUUUUGUGUUCGUUGUUACAAAAAUGUGAAGAGGAAAGAUUCAUGCACUUUUAAUUAAUUAGCUAAAUGAACAGAACACAUAUUUUAUUUUACAAGUAAGCGAUGUAUUAAAUUGGAUUUUUCUUAUCAUUUUUGUUUUCAAACAUCUUCCCUUCUUAUUUCUGUUGUGUCUCUUCAGUAUUUGUAAACAGAUAUUUAUGUGCAAUGACAAUAAAG